UACGUAGGGUGCAAGCGUUAAUCGGAAUUACUGGGCGUAAAGCGUGCGCAGGCGGCUUUGCAAGACAGAUGUGAAAUCCCCGGGCUAACCUGGGAACUGCAUUUGUGACUGCAUGGCUGGAGUGCGGCAGAGGGGGAUGGAAUUCCGCGUGUAGCAGUGAAAUGCGUAGAUAUGCGGAGGAACACCGAUGGCGAAGGCAAUCCCCUGGGCCUGCACUGACGCUCAUGCACGAAAGCGUGGGGAGCAAACAGGA
rnacentral:rRNA from 1 species